rnacentral:rRNA from 1 species
UACGUAGGGAGCAAGCGUUGUCCGGAAUCAUUGGGCGUAAAGAGCGUGUAGGCGGUCCUGUAAGUCCGCUGUGAAAGUCAAGGGCUCAACCCUUGAAUGCCGGUGGAUACUGCAGGACUAGAGUCCGGAAGAGGCGAGCGGAAUUCCUGGUGUAGCGGUGAAAUGCGCAGAUAUCAGGAGGAACACCGAUGGCGAAGGCAGCUCGCUGGGACGGUACUGACGCUGAGACGCGAAAGCGUGGGGAGCAAACAGG